AUUUCAAUGCAAUAAGGAGUUGAACAUCAACUCAAAUUGGAUUUGUCAGAUUAUUUUUCUUUAACAAGGUCUAAUCUGGAGCAAGAAUCUGUACACAAACACAGAGCUAGCAAGAUUAUUCUGAAAAAGGCGAGGACUUAUGAUCUUCUUAUCCUCGAAGAACAUUCUUUAUACAAGUAUGAACCCUUUUAUUUUCCGAUAUCCAUGGAACAAUAAUAAUCAAGUUGAUGUGUAUUGUUACAACAACUCGUGCGAGGACGUUAAGCGCCUAAUGGAAAUUUUUGGUUGAAAUUGAUCCCGAAUCGAAUUCUGCAGUCAACUGCUGCUAAUGGGCAUCAGUCUUCCUCAUCCACUUCAUGAAAAGGAAGUGGCACUGUUUUAACAGCUCUAAACUUACCAGCAUUAUUUAGAUGCUCAUUCUCCAACCUGUAAAAAUUCCACUGCCCUCUUCUAAUGACUUCAAGGGCAGCCAAGAAUAGCCCAGUUACUCUAUAAUCAACAUGUUCAAAAUUUGAAUGCAGGACUGUCUGUAACCAAGCAAGCCUGAGGAUAAGGUUCAAUCCCAUGGAGAAGUAGUAAAUGAACUUUCGACGAAGCAUUAAUUCAUUCCUUAGCCAAGGGUUCUUGGAAUUCAUUUGGAGCAAACCCCAAUCCUUUACAAAAUCCCAAUACAAUUGGUAAACUGUCGCAGCACUUGACAUAACCACAACAAGACACAGCCAUCCAACGCUCCUUUCUUUCUCAUAGGCCACUUUGGCUCCUGCUGCUAACAUAGCUGAUACGUACUUGCCUAGAUUGACAAGGUGGCUUGUCUGUCCUUCAUCGAACCAUCGCCUGGCACACUGCAUAGCUCUCCAGUAGUAUGGCAGGAAGGACACAGCAUAAGCAAGAUCACUGUAAUGCUUGGCCCUCAUGCAGUAGCCAUAGUCCUGUGUUUUGAAGCUCCCGGUUAUAUAGUAACAUGCCACAUACUCAAGGUUCCUAAGCAUUGGUACCUGACUACAGAGUUGGUCAGCCAUGAAGAAGUCCAGCAUCACAACCUUAUAGAGAGGUGAAAAAAUGAUGUUCCUUAUUACACAAAGGAAACGGUAACGACUAGACCGGUAGCAUAUGUUGAAGGGGCACACUAGCAAUGACAGGAGCAUCAAUAACAGAAGACCAGGGAUGGCUUGAACUUGGGAAUACGAAUACCCUUUUGUAAGAAGUGACAAAUGAAUAAACAUGACUCCAACUACAGCAGUCAUCGCCACGGUACACAUCAAGAACACUUCUCUGUACUUAAGCUCCUUGGUAGGGGCAAAUUCAAAAAUAAAGCUAUAAUUUAUCCUAGUCUUCCUCCACAUAAAAAUGUUGCAACCAUACAGAAAGAAGUGUAGGAACAGCAGGCUGAACAUGCUAAGCACAGGAUAGACAGUUUCCAUGUAGACUGUAUCUGCCUGUCGUCUGUACAUCCCAGUAAUAUGAGCCAUUAUAACAUAUCCAGCAAGAAGAGCAAUGAAGCACCCAGUGAACAAUCCAAUGAAGAAGGUUACACUGUGUGAUAAUUUACGUUGUUGGGGUUUAAGAUAUUUCAUGGCCUUUCUUCUGUCCUCUUGAGCGAAAUGUCUACCAAAUAGCUCCUCAACUUCGUCAACUAAAUUCAUUACCUUGUCAGAGCUGUUAAAAUAGGAACUUUCAAGAACUUUUAGAUAGAUGGGAAGAACUUGCUUUCCAGUGACCUUAUCAAACUUCUUCAAAAUCUUUAUAAAAGCUAGCAAAUUCAAGUUCCUGUAAGUCUUGAGGUAACUUAGUCCUUUAUAGAGCUCAACAAAAGCUCCUUUAAUCAUCUUCUCCGCAUGAUGCAACUUUGUUUUGUUGACAUGCAGUCUCUUUCCUUCAGGGUUGCAUUUCUUGGACGACUGGUUAAUUAAAUCUUGCCAAACUAGAUAACUAAGAGCAGAAAAGGUACGAGAAGGUGUUGUUAAAGGAACGUUUAUCUUUAAGUUCUUUCCCUGGCAAUUGAUAACACAACCGGAGAGUGUCCUCAGUUUGUUCUCUUCUCUUUUCAUUCCCAUUGAUUGUCCCAUCUCUUCUGAUCUUGGGGAGUCUAGCCCUUCAUUUUUUUCCAAGUCAUCUGAGCUGGUUUCUUGCACCUGCUCUUCUUCUGUUCUGUCCUUUACAGAGUCCUCCUCACAAGAGAUGGUGCAUGAUAUAGAUACGUCCUCCUUGGAGUCCUGACCAGAAGCUCCAUUGCCACGCUGUUGCUUGCAAGCAGUUUUGAGCCCAGUGAGAAUGUCCAAUUGUUUCUUCAAGGAUUCCCCCCUCUCCAAGAACUCUUUCUCCUUAGUUUUGUAAAAUUGAUUCACUUUGUUAAGUUGAAGGUCCAAACAUGCAAAGAACUCCUUGGCCGCUUCAGUAUCCUGAUCAAAUUGUUCAAUAACUUCUGUUUCAUACAUAUCUUCCUUACUCACCGACGAUGCAAGUUUCUUAUGGACUUGAAUGGGUCCAUGGUCUCUAUGUUGAUGGGAAAAUGGAAUCGGGGAGUACUUCUGGAUAGAAGAAAAGAAGUUGGAUAGAAACGCACGUUGUUGGUGGUGGUGCUUGGAGGUGUUUGUAUUACUAUUAAGAAAAUGGAACUUUUUGAUGUCCUUCUUGAGCUGCCAGUAAUCAACAAAGGCCUCUUUCCACUCAGGCACAAGCUGACCCUCAAAUUGCUUGGAGAACUUCACCAUCCUUUCUUUCUUGGUAAAAGAAAUGAGAGUUAUGCUAUACGUGAGGCUAGCUAGCUAAUGUCGAAAAUGUGUUUCAAUUGUUACCCAUGAUCACCAUAAUUUAUGGGGAAUGACUAGUGAGAAAAGAGAAUAUGUAUGAUCACUGUAAAGACCUAUUUCUAUAUAAAAUUAAACAUUUUGAUUAAUUUUUUAUUAGAGUGAAAUUGACUCGGAUAAUUAAUAGUGCAAAUUCAGAAAGGGUCAUGCAAAGCCUCUGAGUUGAAGAUUUAAGCAAUUGAUUACACCCAGACAAAUUCUUUGGACGGUGGAUUUGUUCGCAGAAAAUGAGUGUCUGCCCAAAACUCUUUUGCUUUUUUCAUCAUCCCAUGAAGGAAAGCAUCGGCACUAAGUAAUUAACAUACCAGGUUAGGGCAAAUCAGUAAUUUGGGAUGCAUAACAAGCUUUCUUGUUUGGUUAUUAAUGAUUAUAAAACCCGAAGCUUUCAAAAGAUUUGUCAUUGCCGCCCAGGCAAUUGGCACUGCAAAUGCAAUUCACUCCCUUUUCUUUAUCUAACACUUCCUUUUCAGGUUCUGCUUAGCUUCUUCUUCCUCUCCCGGGGAUGCUUUAAAAACCCAUACCUUAACCUCCACAAAUGUCCUCCCCAACAGAGAGCUUUUCUCUUGACUCCUGCUUUUAGGUAUGCAUUUUAACUUUGCCGCAUGUUUAAAUUUUGUUCAACUUUUUGUUUUUCCUUUCUUUUUGUCAGCUUCUAUAGAUGAACAGUAAGCUUUGAGGCUUCAGUUGCUUAAUGCUUGCUUGAAGAAAGUUUAGGAGAAUUUUUGGUUAGGUUGGCAUGAGGGAAAGUAUCUGAUACCAAGUGGAUGGUGUCUGGAAUGUGCGUAUUCAUUACUCUACUCCUCUUUCUACUUUAUGAUGGGAAAGCAAUUUGCUUAUAAAAAUACUUAAUUAAGGCUAAGAUUGAUCCAUUGGCUAUGAAAGGAUGAUAUUUUCUGAAGGAGACCUAUCUCCCUUGGAUCAAACCAUUCAAACAAUUUGAACUGAACUCUUUUAACUAAAGAUUUAUACUGUGAAUACUCUUCCAAUGGAAAUGAAUAUCCAGAAAAAUGGUAAGGUCAACCAGAUGGUUUUUGUUUCUCAAUUCUUUGCUCUUUGAGCUGUGUUCAUUAAUUGUAUCAAGUGGGAAGACACCUAAAAAUUAGCUACUCUAACAUGCAACUAAAACUUAUUAAUUAUGAGGAACACUAGAUACACAUGUGAUACAUGGCUUAAACAAGAUUCCAAACUGUGCAUGUUUUUUUGCUUAAAAAUUUACUGUUACUAGUGUCUCUUUCAUUCUUGUUUUCUGGUUUGCAAUUUGCAUUAACUGUAGGCAUUACUUUAAAACAAAAUAGUAAUACGUCAGACCUACCAUUAUUCUGCAAAUUUUCAACAUCCUUUUGAAGAAAAAAUGGCCACUAGUUGCAUUGGUGGUUCCUGUAACUCUUAGCAUGACAUUUGUGUUGGAAUUCUGCUUAUCGGAAACUCUUUGUUGGGAAGCAAGCUUGUGUUUGAAAGGUCUGAAAACAUGAUAAGAAGAUAAUUUCAGAUUUUAUUGAAAUAUCAAUAGCUAGAUAUGGCCAUUAAAUUUGCAUACUUACAAGAGCAGUAAUCAGGUGUUAUAAAGAAUUGUGCCAGGAUUUCCUAGAAAGCUCCCUUGGCUGUUGGAGAUUCUGCAACUGCAUAGCUCUUGGUGCAUUUCCAGGACCCUGAUGGCUUGAACAGUCACUUAUGGGGCUGUGGAGAAAUGGGUGGAGAAGUGUUUUGGGUUUGUUUGUUUCAGUAGAUGAGUCGAAGGUUAAGAAUCUGCUAUCAACAACACCUACAUGAUAGUCAGGUUAGGC
rnacentral:misc_RNA from 1 species